rnacentral:lncRNA from 1 species
UAGCUACUAACAAAAUGUAACCCAACUCCGGUGGCCUCUGACUACGGUGCGAUACCUUUACCGCGGUCGCUCGCCGGCUCACUGGCGGUCCCGGUCUGUGGAAAGUAAUGGGGUGAGAACUACAACAAAGUUUCCAGUGGUCGGCCUCAACAUCACCGACUUUCCACUAGGACUAACUCAGGCAUAAUAGAAAGGAUGAGUAGGAAUAUAACCAAUCUAUAACAUGAUACAAUAUACUGAACAAAUAGCAAGAAAUAUGCUCAACAUUAAAUAAAUGCAGGUUAUGCAUGUUCUUUAGUUCUUUACACUUUAACUUUGUUCUUUGCUCUUUGUUCUUUACUUCUUUGCUCUUUAAUCAUUGAGGCUAACCCGGGGUUUCGCCGCAUUAAUUGCUUCACAUUAAUCCAUAUCGCAGAACUCACCCAGCUAGGACGUCCUUACGGUCUACUCCACCCGGAUGCAUAACUCCGGAGCGCAUCGCCCGAGGGGAGCGACCGCCCUCAGACCAACGGAACUCAUAGCAAGUAUGAUCAUAUCCUUAACUCAAGGAUUAUAAGUUCAAUCUUACUUACACUAGCUUAGGUUUCUUUACAUCACUUUAUGUUGCAAACUCAUGCAAUCACAUCUUUGCAUUUUCAUUACCUUGCUAACUCUAGCAUUCUUGUUCUUAUUGGCACUUUACUUUAACUUUACACUUUGUCACUUUCUUCAUUCUUUACAUCACUUUAGUUCUUACAACACACUAACUCUAGUGUCAUUUCACAUUAGCUUUAUCGAAUGCCACUCGAUCUAUGUCAUUGUGUCACUCUGUUCUUUUGCUCACUUUGGGUGCUCACAUUUUCUCUCAUGCAUACAUCUAGGUUUUCGACAUUCAUUGGUUCUCAACCAAUUCAUUAUGCAAGUUGUGCUCACAAUCAUGCAAUUAUCACAUUUCAUCAUUACUUUACCCUAAAAUGCAUGCAACAAUAAUCAGAAAUAAUCCUCACGAGAAUGACACAUUAGGCAUAGAGAGAAUUUCAAUGAGUUUGAGAAGCACCACCCACCUUGUAGGUCUCUUUUGGUGCUCCGACGAUUUUCUCGGGAUUUUUAGUCGUUUCUUUCUUUACCUGCGGCAUAACGAACCCUUAUUAGGCCAUUUUGCCCAUAACUUUUCAUCGGCUUUUCGUAACGUUAAUCCGAGCGCACCAACGCGUCGGAAAUACCCCCAAUCAGGUUUUUAGAGGGUCAAUUGCACUUAGAAACCCUCAUGAGCAAAAGCCUCAAUUUGGUGCCCUAGCUCCAAUACACAUAUCAAACCUAGGGUUUGAUCUCAUUGGGAAGCAAAAAUAGCUUCAUUAUACUCUAAAUAGUCCAUUAGAACCAUCUUUAGACAAAUCAAAACCCUACUUAGGGUUUCACCAUGAGAGGUGAUGAAGCUCACCUCAAACUUCACCAUUUCCAUGGCCUUGAUCUCAAAAGAAGCAAAAGAAAAGCUUCCAAUACUCCAAAAGCUCCAUGAAAACCAUCUCUAGGUUUUCCAAAACCCUAGUUUGGAUUUCACCAUUAGAGGUGGGUUGAAGCUCACCUUGAGCUCAACCAUGGUUUUGAUCUCUAAAGAAGCAAAAGAAAGCUUCAAAACUACUAGACAUUCCAUUAAAGACCAUUUCUAGGUUCAUUCAAACCCAUUUCUAGGGUUUUACUACAUUAGGGUUCAAAGCUUACCUCAAGCUUUCCUUUUCUUCAAGCUAGAGAUGAAGGAGAAGGAGUUUCUUCACUUCUUCUUCUUCUUCUUCUUCACUUUCUUCCUCUUCUUUUCCUUUUCUUCUUCCUUUCUUCUUCUUCUCUUUUGUCUUCUAGAGAGAGAGAGGGAGAGAAGAGAGUGUGAGAGGGAAUGAGAGGGUAGAAAUGAGAGAAAUCCCUCAUUUACCCUAAUACAUAGCUUAUGGGGUUGCAAAAUUGCAGCUAAACCCCUCAACUUUCACUUUAAUACACUGCCCGAACUGGGCAUUCCGCGCCGGCAGAGACCGGUCUCCCCGAGCAGGGACCGGUUCCCGAACGUUGUCCCAGCGCAGCCAGAGCUGCUGCGCGUAGUGCAACCGGUCUCUCCUUGUGGGACCGGUCUCUGGGGGACCGGUCUCUCCGGCAGAGACCGGUUCCCGAGAGCUAAUCUUCCAGGACUUAGCCGAUUUUUCGGCUGUCUCAUUUCAUACGCGUUCGGGGACCGGUCUCUCCCACCAGGGACCGGUCCCCGAGAGCUGAAAAUCUGCAGUUUUGCAGAAUUUGAUUCUUUAGCUCUCGAAAACCUUCCACAGCUCACUUUAGAUCAUUUUAACACCUUCGGACUUUCCGAAGUGUUCCGUCCUCGCACUUUGGUCAAUUUGACUAAAGUUCGAUAUUUAUUUUCCGAAUUCUCGGUAUAUUACAAUAUGGUAGAUUGCAAAUCUGAAUUUGGAGCAUGUGGUAAUAAAUUGAGUAGGUUAUACAUGUUGGAGUUGGAAUUUGAAUUAGGAGAAAACCUGCGAUUUGGAUCUGUCACUUGUUUAAACUGCCUGAUUUAGCUCUAGGAGCCGUUAUAAAAUUGUACUGUCGCAGUAUCCUCGAGACGAAUACUUCAGGUAGUUUAGAAUAUAUUUACGCUCGUGCUGGUACGCCGAGUGGAUUUUUACAGGGUCGUUUGGGCUGUUUCAGAAUUUUUGGCGCCGUUGGGGUUGACGGUGGGCCCGGUUCGCCGUUUUGGCGUCAGAUUGUGCCGAGGGCACGUUACUUGUUGGUUGUUAGACCAGUUAGAGUAGCUUACUUGGACUUUGGCUUGACAGAGCCUGAUUGAGCUCGAUAGAGAUACGCUGCAUACUCGGUUGGGUAGCGCCCACGAGUACCACUCUGGAGACGGGUUUUAUGCUUUCGCGUUGGUGUCGCUCAUGCCGGUUGCAGUUGCUUUCCACGGACUAGGAGUGUGGAGGUAGCUGGAUAGUCACAACUGGGCAGGGACAGGUGUGUUCACAGUCCCAGGGACGGGUAUGCCUACAGUCCCGAUUGGAUUGGGUCAGAUUUGACAUUUCCUGCAGUUGGUUAGUGUAGAGCAUGAUAGUGUAGUGAUUGAUAGCGGUAGAGUUUACUUCCUGCUUUUCCGACUAUUCUUGCUCCCUUCUGUAGACUUAGUGGGUGGACCGAUGUUGUUUUGGGCGGUACCCACUGAGGACUACUUGUUUUUACAGUAGUUCUCACACCCAGUUGUUACCCCUGUUUUGCAGAGCCACAGGUUUCGGCUGUUGCGCCUUCCGCGGAUUAGGAUCGAGGCAAGGGCGUCGCGAGUUAGAGCCCUACCCGCCGAGCAGAGCUAGAGGCACCCUACUGCAGGUAGUUGUUUUAUUUCGAGCUUAUGUACAUAGUACUUAACUCGCCAGUGCGAGUAACUCUGUAUUUNNNNNNNNNNNNNNNNNNNNNNNNNNNNNNNNNNNNNNNNNNNNNNNNNNNNNNNNNNNNNNNNNNNNNNNNNNNNNNNNNNNNNNNNNNNNNNNNNNNNNNNNNNNNNNNNNNNNNNNNNNNNNNNNNNNNNNNNNNNNNNNNNNNNNNNNNNNNNNNNNNNNNNNNNNNNNNNNNNNNNNNNNNNNNNNNNNNNNNNNNNNNNNNNNNNNNNNNNNNNNNNNNNNNNNNNNNNNNNNNNNNNNNNNNNNNNNNNNNNNNNNNNNNNNNNNNNNNNNNNNNNNNNNNNNNNNNNNNNNNNNNNNNNNNNNNNNNNNNNNNNNNNNNNNNNNNNNNNNNNNNNNNNNNNNNNNNNNNNNNNNNNNNNNNNNNNNNNNNNNNNNNNNNNNNNNNNNNNNNNNNNNNNNNNNNNNNNNNNNNNNNNNNNNNNNNNNNNNNNNNNNNNNNNNNNNNNNNNNNNNNNNNNNNNNNNNNNNNNNNNNNNNNNNNNNNNNNNNNNNNNNNNNNNNNNNNNNNNNNNNNNNNNNNNNNNNNNNNNNNNNNNNNNNNNNNNNNNNNNNNNNNNNNNNNNNNNNNNNNNNNNNNNNNNNNNNNNNNNNNNNNNNNNNNNNNNNNNNNNNNNNNNNNNNNNNNNNNNNNNNNNNNNNNNNNNNNNNNNNNNNNNNNNNNNNNNNNNNNNNNNNNNNNNNNNNNNNNNNNNAUUAUAACUUUGCAACGAGUACUUUUUCUCAUUCAAUCAAACAAAGAGUAAAUCCUAAUUAUAUUGUUCUAUUAUGCCCCGAGAGUGUAAUGUUGGAAGGAAUCGAUGUCAACGUUCACUAGAACCAAAACCGGAACUGCAUUAGACAACUCACUUGCGCCGUAACAGUAUAAAUUUGCAACGAGUGCUUUUUCUCAUUCUAUCGAACAAAGAGUAAAAGCUAAUUAUAUUUUUCUAUUAUGAUGCCCCGAGAGUGUAAAUUUCGAACGAAUUGAUGUCAACGUUCACAAGAACCAUAACCGAAACAACAUUAGACUACGCAGUUGCGCCCUAACUGUAUAACUAUGCAACGAGUACUUUUUCUCAUUCAAUCAAACAAAGAGUAAAACCUAAUUGUAUUAUUCUAUUAUGCCCCGAGAGUGUAAUAUUGGAACGAAUCGAUGUCAACGUUCACAAGAACCAAAAUCGGAACAACAUUAAACUACUCUGUUGCGCCCUAACAAUAUAAAUUUGCAACGAGUACUUUUUCUUAUUCUAUCGAACAAAGAGUAAAAGCUAAUUAUAUUGUUCUAUUAUGCCCCAAGAGUGUAAAUUUCGAAUGAAUCGUUGUCAACGUUCACAAGAACCAAAACCGGAACAACAUUAGACUACUCAGUUGCGCCCUCACAGUAUAACUUUGCAACUAGUAUUUUUUCUCAUUCUUUUGAACAAAGUGUAUGUAAGGUACUGGACUUCUAAAAUUAUGAAGUUACGGUGUACAUUUGAUUGGAGAGCCACUUGAAAGGUUCCGGUGAAGUUCGGUGAAGUUCAGGAGCAUUCGGGCGAUUCAGUGCGUGUAGGCGCGAAAACGGAACCCGAAAGGCUAUGUUGGGCCAUGAGCUAAAUCCGGCAUUAGCGUGGAUGAAAAGAUGAAGAAAACAUGCUCGAAAACAUGUUUGGAGAGUCUCGGUUCGAUUUGAAACGAAUCGGAGGUCAUACGAGCGAAAACGAGCGAAAACGGACCCAAAAGCUGAAAAAGCUGAAAAUUUGGCUAAGUCUGGAAGGUGCAGAAUUUUUGGACCUUCGGGGACCAGUCUCUCAAGACCAAGGACCGGUCCCAGCACCCGAAAAUGCCCAGUUUGGGCUGGAUCAUUGUGUUAAACAUUGAGGGGUGUGGGGGGUUAAGUGCAAAUGUGUAUAUAUGAGUUUAUAUGUUGGAGAGAUGAGGUUUAGCCCUCAUUUCUCUCCUCUCCAACACCAACUUGAGAGCUCUCUCUCUCUCUAGAUCUCUCCCUCUCCCUCCUUGAGGUGCUCCAAUGGUGGAGUUUUGAUGGAGAAAAGAUGGCUUGGUGGAGAUGGAACCCUCUCAUGGCAACCUAGCUUGGAGGAGAGCUUCCAUUUGAGAUAAGUAACCUAAGAUUUGAAGGUUUUAUGGUUGUGAUGUUAGGGUUUGGUAUUUUCCUUCUAGAUCUAGCUUCUAGGAGAUGUCAUGGUGAGGUUAUUCAUGGAUUUCUAUGGUCUAGGGACCUAUUUGGGAAAGAUGAUAAACCCUAGGGGUUAGAUUUGGGAAUUUUGUAAAGUUGAGAUCUAACUUGAGUUUGAUCUCUUGUUAACCUAAUUGGUAGGUCAACGAACGCGUUGGUGCGCUCGGUUCGUCGAUUCGUCGAGCCGGUACGAAGAUAUUGAAGAAACAAGCUAAAUUGGUAUAGAUGGCCGUAGCUCGCGGCGUAGGUGUCUAAAAAUCGUGAAAAUUGAAUCGGAACUUCUCGGCAUUCCUACAAGGUGGGGGGUGCUGUCCGGAAACACCGGAUCUCUUUCUAUGUCUAUGUCACUUCUUUGAGCAUAUUGAUAAUGUUGNNNNNNNNNNNNNNNNNNNNNNNNNNNNNNNNNNNNNNNNNNNNNNNNNNNNNNNNNNNNNNNNNNNNNNNNNNNNNNNNNNNNNNNNNNNNNNNNNNNNNNNNNNNNNNNNNNNNNNNNNNNNNNNNNNNNNNNNNNNNNNNNNNNNNNNNNNNNNNNNNNNNNNNNNNNNNNNNNNNNNNNNNNNNNNNNNNNNNNNNNNNNNNNNNNNNNNNNNNNNNNNNNNNNNNNNNNNNNNNNNNNNNNNNNNNNNNNNNNNNNNNNNNNNNNNNNNNNNNNNNNNNNNNNNNNNNNNNNNNNNNNNNNNNNACGAAAGGAGAUUACCCCCAGGCUGUAGCACAGCACGUACGACACGAGAGUAGUUUGGGGUGCCACGGGCCGGGAUGCUAAGCUCCCACUCGGAAAGUUUGUAGUAGGAGGAAGCCGCUCGCUCGGGUGUCAAAACGGGCAAAUUUGCCCCGCAAAAUGGCCUUUGCCUUAUCCGCGCUGAGGCAUUAAGCCGCCACAGUUACAAUUCAUAUUGUCACAAAGUCAGACAAUAUCUAGGGCCACAUUGUCGGCCCGGCUCGCUUGGCCACGAGAAAUCUAAUCCUAAUUGGGCCUAUACGGUCAUAGUAAUUCAACAAUCUUGCUUUUAAGGGUUUUACCUUAAAUCUAGUCACAAUAAUUGUCCUUCUACUUUAGUACCGGCGAUGCCAUCAUGUCACUAUAGCAAUGCCUCACCUGUGGUAGAUGUACCCCUAGGUGAGCUCAGAGAAUGCUCGACUCUUGGUUGUUAGUGAGUCAACUUAUAUAGCCAUCAGCACCUGCAUAUGCGUUGUUCAUUCUUCUCGUUCGCUCAUGGUUCUAACAAUAUAUUAUGCAUGUUUCAUAAUCAGAUAAUUGAUACAAACAAGCAUUUUAUUCCCAAUACGCCCCAAUAACCGGCAAUUUUGCCCGGGCAAAUGCCAUUGGUUCGCGCUAUUGCCAGCCUGUGCAUGGCAGGUCGAAGGACGGUCCUAGCUGGUGAGUUCCUGCGAUGAUGGACUUAAUGUGAAGCAAGUUAAUGUGGCGAAACCUCCGGGUUAGCCUUGAGAUUAAAGAACAAAGAACAAAGAGCAAAGAAUAAAGAACAAAGUACAAAGUAAAGUCAAAGAACGAAUGAAAUUGCAUAAUCUGCAUUUAUUUAAUGUUGAGCAUACCUCUUGCUAUUGUUCAGGCAUAUUAGCAUUAUGUUAUAGAUUGGUUACGAUAUCUUGCUUAUCCUUUCUAUUAUGCCUGAGUUAGUCCUAGUGGGAAAGUCGGUGAUGUUGGGGCCGAACCCACUGGGAACUUUGUUGUAGUUCUCACCCCACUAUUUCCACAGAGCCGGGACCGAGCGAGCCGGCGAGCGACCGCGGUAAAGGUAUCGCGCCUUAGUCAGAGGCCACCAAUGUUGGGUUACAUUUUGUAGUAAAGUACCUUAUGAUCAUCUUUUGUAUUUGAUGAUUAGUGAUGUAAAGAAAGAAUGUAAAGCUCAUUUUGAGGUAAAUGUGAUGUAAGAAAGAAAUGAUGUAAUGAAUGUAAGAAUUCGAUAAAUUACUAGAUGAAUGCAGUGUAUAUGAUCUAAAGUGAAUCAUAUUACUUGUGAAUGUUUAGUUUCCUUUUUCUUUCACUAAUGGCUAUUGCUUACCCUCGUGUAAGUCGUGUGUAUAUGUUUCCGCUAGUGCUUUUCUCUAUUGAUGAAAAUGUGCAUGUGAUGAGCCUUGUGCGGAUAGGGGAAACUCCGUCCGUUCGGCGUCCGUUUGACGUGCUCGGGUCGGGCCAAAUUGGUAUCGGUCCCGGGGCGUGACAAGAGCUCUCUCUCUCUCUAGAUCUCUCCCUCUCCCUCCUUGAGGUGCUCUAAUGGUGAAACCAUGGUGGAGAAAAGCUUGGGUAGUGAUGAAGGAACCCUCUAAUGGCAACCUAGCUUGGAGGAGAGCUUCCAUUUGAGAUAAGUACCCUAGGUUUUGAGGGUUUUAUAGUUUUGGUGUUAGGGUUUGGUAUUUCCUUCUAGAUCUAGCUUCUAGGAGAUGUCAUGGUGAGGUUGUUCAUGGAUUUCUAUGGUCUAGGGACCUAUUUGGGAAAGAUGAUAAACCAUAGGGGUUAGAAAAUGGGGUUUUGUAAUUAUGAGGCCUAAUCUUGGGAUUGAUCUCCUUCUAACCUAAUUGGUAGGUCAAUGAACGCGUUGGUGCACUCGGUUCAGCGAUACAAUGAGCGUACGCGAAGAUAUUGAAGAAAAGGCUUGUUGAGGUAUAGAUUGCCGCAGCUCGCGGCGAAAGCUUCCUAAAAUCGCGAAAUCGGAAUCGUGGGCUCGUGGCAUCACCUUAAAAUUGGGGAAGUGCCAUCCGAAAGCAGUUGAACUGCUUCCCUUAUGUCUAAGUUACUAAUAUUGAUUAUUAUGCAUAUUGAACAUGUAGCAUAUAGGGUGGGUGCUUAGUGAUAAUGUAGAUGUUGUGCAUGCUAUGGUAAGUUAAAGUUUGGAUUAACACUUGAACCUAUUAUAGCAUGAGUUGGAUAUAGAUAGUAUUUACCCUAUAUGACAUUAAACGUAAUUUAUGAAGUUGAUUAAACUCUAGUGAAUACAACUAGUGAUACGUGCAAGAAAUUAUUGAGGACAUGCUUAUGUGGAUGAAAACUAUAGAUGACAAAACGUAAGUUAAGAGAACUUGAACUAUGACGAGUGGCAUCUUAGUAUAAAAUUGAAUUAUCGACUGGAACGAUGGCAUUGAUGAACUUACGAGUGUAGAUGAAAAACCUCAUUGUAUGUUGAACUUAGAAGUACAACAUAGUUCCCUUAGUGUGGUUGUCUAGAAGUGUAAAGGGUAAUCCUCCAAUGGAUGGGAAAUAUGAUCAUACCUCAAUAUGUCUGUUCGAGCUUGGAGUGUCGCCCUACACAAGCAGUGUAUCUCCGGAGUGUCACACGAUAGGGAUAGCCAUUUUUGGAUCCUGAUGGGGGUUAGCCUUUUUGGGCCCCGCAGACAUUCUUGGCGAUGAGCUGAUCCUCCAUGUGGAGUAUCAAGGUGAGUGAGCUGAUCCUCACCCUGUGAAAGAUUCAGAAUAUAGAGAGAAUAUAAUAAUAUAGAUAAUAGAAUCGGACAAGUGGCAUCUCCCCGAAUAAAUAAGUAUAGUGAUCGGCGAAGUGAGCGGAUCUACCACAAGAUAAAGAUAAUAUAAUAGUAGACACACAUCACCUAUAUGAUUAAGUAAUACGACAUUUCAUUAUUGUUGAAGCAUCAUGUAAAAUUGUAAAUAAUAUAUAUACAAUAUAAAGUUUAUGCAUAGACUAUAUUGCAGAUUGAGCAUAGUUAGACAUUACAUAAUUAUAUACAAACUGUAUUAUAAAAACAUUGUCAAAUUCAGCACAACUAUCUAUCUAUUAAAUGCAUUAAUCGCUCUAAUGCCAAUGCUUAGACCUAGUGGUGAAGACGCGGAGUCGGCGGAUCGAACCCACUGGAACUAUAUAUUAUAUAAGUCCCUCAACCCCGAAGAAUUAAGAUACAGGUACACACGUGAGCAAGGACCUGCAGUUGAUCGCGUAAGGCAUUAGCGCCCUAGAAAGAGGUGUAGUAUAGCUUAUACUUACCCUUUGCAUUAGAGCUACCUUGUACAUACUUGAGAGUAGAUGAUGUAUAGGUGUGAGAUGUUUUGGGAAAUUGUAAACUUUAAGUUGUGUUGUAUUUUGGAAGUUAAAUGUAAUCAAAUGUAUUAAGUUGAAUGGAUGUAAUAGAUUAGUAUCUCUCUUUUAUUCACUUGUUUAUUACUUGUGAUGCUUGCUCUUUGGUUAGUUAGCACUGGUUGUGCUCUCACUAUUGUUGUUGAUUUUGUAUGUAAUCAAGUUGUUUUCCUGGGCACUUGUUGUACACAAUCUCGUCGCUUGAGCCUUGGGCGGACAGGGGAGACUCUGUCCGUUCGGCGUCCGUUCGCCGCGCCCGAACCGGACCAAAUUGGUAGCGGGCUCGGGGCGCGGGGCGUGACAGUUGUGGUAUCAGAGCGAGUAAGAGCAAGCAAAGAGAGAGUCUAGGACUGACCUAGGAGACCCUAGGACGGUAAACCGUAAGGUUAUAGGUGCGUGAGUGGAAUGUGAACCUAUACAGUGCCGGAAGUUGAAUCGACUGGGUCAAGUUUUGUAAACCUCUAAGACGGAUAUUAGAGGUAGAUUCAAGGUGUGGUAAAUUCUCAGCCAAGUGUGUGUUCAUGUUGGCGCGCGACAACAUGAAACCGAUUGAUGAGAAUAGACGCCCUUGCGUGACUUUCGCCUGAUUGAUUUUCGAGUCGGUGUUGGUUGUUACGUGCUUGACCUAGAGGGUCAAGACUGAUCGUGUUGUCGUGGUUCGGGAAACGAUGGCACCGCGCAAGCGAUCUUCGUCUAAAUUAGCGCGGGAUUGGACAAGUGAUGUCCUUGAGGAGUAAGAGGCGAGCGGAGACUUGGAACUUCGCGAGCAGUUGGCUACACUCGAGAGAGUGUAGCACCUGCUGGAGCAGGUAGAGAGCUAGAUGGCACUAGCAAAUUCCUAGUGGUGGUUCUUGGACAAAAGAUGAGACUUGUGGUCGAGAGGAAGUGGUGAAGUGACUCACAAGGCAAUGUGAUCAGUGGAUCGCGAGAUCGAGGAUACGCCGAGUGCGAUGAUGACCCAACCCGAGGAUUUAUAGUGGUUUGGGGUCUUGGUUGCUCCUGGUUGGAGUGUGCGCGAAUUCCCAAGUGAGUAUUUCGCCCGGUUAUAGUUGGGUCAACGCUUGUGGGCGAGAGACGUUACGAGUGUCGAGACGGUUAGGCUAUAGGCCUGAGUAAAGUUGGUGACUGUUGGUCCACAUGUGAAAGCCAACGUGAUCGAUUUUGCCGAUAACUCUGUGGAGGAGUUGGGAGUGAGGAAGUGAAUUCUCGAAACGCGAGAGUUGAACUUCGCUCAAGAUCGACUAGUUAUCAAGUGGGAGUGCUUCGGAAAAGCCGAAGAAGUCAAAUGCACCAGAAGUGCAUUGUAACGGAUCCGCGAGAGCAAGUUAUGCAAAAAUCUACACUUGGCAGAAAUUACUCUCGGGGACCGGUCCCUGGCAGGGGGAGACCGGUCCCACUGGCUGGUGGUUGCUGCGACGCGUGAGGCAACCGGUCCCUAGGUCAGGGAGACCGGUUCCCGAAUGUGUGAAUUGGAGAAGGUCCUCUGGGACCGGUCCCUCGCAGGGAGAGACCGGUCCCCGAGUAUGAAGUUUGCCCAGGCAGGCUGGGUCAUGUUGGAGAAGUUGGAGAACUUGAGAAUAUUGCUCUCUUGAGGGUUAGCAUUGGAGAUGUGCCAAAGUGUGCCAUCUCGCAAUAGAGCAAGGGUGCCACCUCACAAUAGAGCAAAGAUCCGGAUGUGAUGGUAGCACUCGCGGUUGAUCGAUGCACCAAUAAUAUUGCCUUUAGGCAAUGCCGGUGAUCGAACCGGAGUGGAUUUCCCAAUUGGGCGUGUAAUACAAGGAGUAGUUCCUUGCAUGGUAGUAAUGCACUUUUGGAGUUGCGCAUGGCGAAUGUGAGUGAGUUUGGUCUCACAUUCUCCGUAGUGAGCCUUUGGAGAGUUCCGAUAAGUGAAAGGCCACUCCGAGAUGCAAAAGUGCAUUAGAACCCUCGAUUACUCAAUAUGUUGAGUUGAGGUGUGUGUUAGAUUUGAAGUGAGUUAGUUUCGAGGACGAAACUCUUUUAAGAGGGGACAAUGUAAGUACCGCGACUUCUAAAAUUAUGAAGUUACGGUGUUGUACAUUUGCGUUGGAGAACAAACUUGAAAGGUUUCUCGGUGAAGUUCAGGUUGAAGUUCCAGGAGCACAUUAAAACGGGAUCGAUCAGAUGAUCAAAGUUCACGAAGAACACAAACAGAGGAACAAACAUCGUAGACUACUCAGUGUAAGAUGUGGAAUUGCCUCGAAAUUCGCAGGAUUAGUCGCUUCGAUUUGGAUAUAGGACUAUUGUCUGAGAUGUGUAGGGGCUUCGAAAGCACCGAGGUUGAUUCUAAUUCCAUGAAGUGGCAUUAAGGAAGGGUCCACGAGAGCACCAGGUGCAAAAUCUGCACUGUAGAGCACGAAUGCUCUCGCGGAACCGGUCUGCACGACCCGGACCCGCCGCCUAUGUUGGCGGACGGUCCCGGCGCCGCCGACGAUCGCCCGACCUGAACAGGGUUUUCCCUGUACUACGGACAUAGUCUCCCCGUGUAAUUCAAGGCUCGCAAUCAAACAGGGUACAAUAGGUUCAACAGGAACAGAUAUAAUCAAACAGAUUGAGGAUCGGAGGGUAUCAUACAGACAUAAACACACCCUUAGAAGUAUUACAUUAUUCUCAUCAUAGUUUUUACAUCACAAUACAUUCUUUUAAUCCAAAUGCAAUUAAAUUAUUAAACUUAAUAACAGCUUUGGGUACAUUUACUUUUCAGUUUUCCUUUAAAACCGCUUUAAGCUAGAUGCUCACAGGGUACAACUAGCGGUCUCGUGGGGUCUAGGACGCUAUCUGCCAGAACUACGCCUUGCCUUGCGCGCCGCGCCGCACAGUGUGUACCUGUACCAGUGUACCCAAACGGGCAACGAGGGUGAGAAUAUUGUCCUAGUCCUCAGUGGGUGUUAGCCACCCAAGAGAACCAUGCUCAGCCAACAAGGCUCUAACGAGCACUGCAACAUGUUAGAUCAAAACAAUAUACUAACAGAUAUAUAUUCAAUUUGAAAUACAUGUCCUGCCUCACAAAAUAAAUAGCUUAAUACCUGUAUGUGAUAAUCAUGCAGUAGCGCUUACUUUAACACUACUUAUUGCUCUUAAUCAUUCAUUGUCUUUGCAAUUUAACGCUUACUUUUAGCUCUUAGCCUAUUUCUUUAUCAUUUAGCUAUUCUUUACUUGACCUUUCGUUUACUGUUCUUUAUUCUCAACGAUUCUCAAAUCCAUGCUAUAUUUUUUAGCCUUGGCAUUCUAUUCUAAGGUCACUCAUUACUUGUCGUAACAAGCCACCCGAUCCGUUUGACGUGUCGUAAUGCAAUCAGCGGAUAGUCCCUGCGCCACGUGUCUAGUUCGAAGGUGAUGAGAACUUCUCACAUGCACCUCAGCUCAACAGGCUACCGUUACUCCUGUCCUGAGCCGUUUAGGCCAUACAUUAGCGAUUACGAAUCGCAGACCGUCACCAACAACGGUAGGUUCAAUGACUUUCACCGAGGCGGCGAAUUCGUCGCACACACGCCGCGACAAGUGGUAUACCAGUCAACUCAGCAAGGCGCGUAGGAUCCACAAACUGCUAUCCAUCUGCGGGAACUCGUACGCACAAACGGGACGAUUGCGCUCUUCAGCAUUGGGCGCGAAGAUCGAGUCGCACGACCGACACACUUUGGGCUGUAGCAGCAAGCCAGCGGAGAUUUCGGAAUCCCUAUACAUUAACAAGGUGGCCUUAACCCAUAUGGAGCUGACUUCUCGUAGGACUCUACCUUUAUCUCCUAGGUCAGACUUGACUCUAUGUGUUAACAUCCUUUUAUAAACCUAGUUAUCUUUAGGUUUAUUGCUUUCCAUUCUUAACCUAGGUUUAUAAUUAACUAGGAUCCAUCAUUCUUUUCCACGCUAGGUCUCAGCUUAACUCGUAGGCUUUAAGCAGCUUUUCAUUCAACAACUAUGUUCUGAUCUUAGGUUUUAAAUCAUACUCUUCUUAUAAGCUAGUUCGUUACAUUAGUUCAACUAUCACAUUUGUGUAUAACUCCUGAUGUCCUCGACACUGUGAGUUUUAUGUCACUGCGGAUCUAUAGUCUUAUUCAUGUUUCCACCUAUAUAUUAUUCCUUACUUAGCCAUCUCAUACACUGGUUACUUGCCAGUACUAUUUUCAUACCAUGCUUAUCAUCUAUACCUUAGACAUGAGCCAUCAUUUCUUUAAUCACUCUAGGGUUCUACAACCUAGCAUUGUUUUCUCUUAUUGACACAUUUUAAGUCUGCAUUAAUCUCAAAUUGAGUCUAUUCUAACCAGUUAUGACUCACAUUGCAUCAUGAUUGUUAUGUAGCAUUAUACAACGUUGUUCAUCGAUGAUUCUUUAUCUUCUUAAAAUUAUGUCAUCAACAUGCAUUUCAUUCUUACUGUCAUGUCAUAUUUAAUGCCAGUCCUUUUAAUUUACAUGCCAUAUAUUAAAUUAUGUUUCUAUAUGCAUUUACUUUAGCAUUACAUGGAUAUCAUGCAUUGUUGUAACACUUAGUGAUGCAUCAACACGAAUUCUGAAUUCGCUUAGAAUAAGAGCGACCUUGCUAGUCUCUUCCUACUCGGUGAAAGCCAAUCCUCCACUCUUAACAGAACACAAAUAGUUCACGCCCCGCCUCUUCCGAUGCUCGUCGACACUUGCAAUCGGCGUCUCGCCGGACAACCGUUCGCCCGGUUUGGCCCGAACUACCUUGCGACUUAAGCCGAACGACCUCAAUUCACGUCGAUCCCGUUUUUCCGGAAGUUUAUUUCCUUGACCUCCAAGGUGCUCAUUUCCGAUCUAUUUGAUUAUUAGAACGCUUUAAUUACGCGUGCUGGGCUAUCUGCCUAGAAACGACCGUUUUGGAUCGAAUAACUUCGCGUUACGACUCGUCAGGCCAAUUGUCGACACCAGAGCGCACCAGCCUGUUCGUUAGCGUCCCCAAUUAGGUUUCAAGCACUACAAGAAUAGAUUCAGAAAGCCCAAUCUAGCAAAAUCACCAUUUGGAUAUGCCCUAAUGCAAACAUAGGUUAAUAGCCUCGGAUUUGAUCUAUAAAUCAAGCAAAAGAGAAGUUUUUUAUCAAUGCUACCGAAGCUCAUACUGGAGCAUUCGAUCUUCAUUCUAGGAGUGUUUAAAGCAAACGCUAGAAAUCACAUUAGAGCCUCAUUUGUAGAAAACCAUUGGAUUUCAUGGAAGCUGUCCUAAGCUUCUACACGGUUCUAAACACUUACGAAAGUUCCAAAACCUAAGUUCUAGGUGUUCAAAAUCCCAUUUUUCUACUCUCAGCAAUUACCUAUUUAGAAGGCUUAGGGAGCUCUACUCUCAAAGGUCCAUCAAAUGAGGAGUUUAAGAUUGGAGAUGAAGAGAGGAGGGGAUCUUCUACUUGCGUCUCAACGCAUCUCUCCUUUUCCUUCUCUUUUUGCUCUUCUCUUUUCCUUUUUCUCUUCUCGUUCUUCGGCUUCGGUUUGCUCCCACGAACAGAGAAGAGAGAGACGAGAGCGGAGGGCCGUGUGGGAGUGAGAGAGAGAGAGGAAAUACUCGUCCUCAAUAACCACCUGCUCAACAUGUAUAUGUAACAGAUAUCCACUUAGCCCCUCCAUUGUUGUCUUGCGGACGGACCUGAACCUGCGUUUCCAACUUAACCCACUGAUCUGGGUCCCUUGUACCGGUACACGGGCUCUUGUACCGGUACAAGGCCCGACAGACAGCCAAAACCGAGAGCUGGCUCGCUCGGUUUCGCGGAUUUUGUACCGGUACAAGGCCCCCUUGUACCGGUACAGCGCCGUAGCACUGUUCCGUGAUGGUUGUACCGGUACAGCCAUCACUCUUGUACCGGUACAACAGCCCCAGAAUGCUGUUUUUCGAUUCGUUUCUAUUCGAUUUCGCACCGAUCAAUAUCAAAACCCUUCCAACUCUUUUAGAGCUUACUUUUAACACUUCCAACAGUGUUGGAACAUUAAUGGAUCGCGUCCAACCAAUCCUCUUGAGUACUUUAGUCAAUUUGGCUAAAGUCCACAAUAUUUCGCCGAGAUCUCGGGGGUUACACGGUCCCUGGCAGAGAGGGACCGCUCCCAUUAGGCUGGGCUGCGGGGGUCUCUGAUGAGACCGGUCCCUGCCAGGCAGGGACCGGUUCCCGAACGUUGGCCCAGCGAAAAUAGCCGAAAUUUUGCUAAGUCCCGAAAACUCUACUCUCGGAGACCGGUCUCUCAGACAAGGACCGGUCUCCCGGGGACCGGUCUCUCAGGCAAGGGCCGGUUCCCGAACGCGAAAUCCCUACUGCCUGAUUGUGCAGCUCUCGGGGACCGGUCUCCCCGAGCUGGGACCGGUCCCUCACUGCGAAAUCAGCCCAGUGAAAGCUGUUUAAUAGAUGAAAAGUUGAGGGGGCUAUCUGCAAAAUGGCCUUUAUUAGAGGCUAGGGGACCUCUUCUCUCCCUCAUUGCUUUCUAACUCUCUCUCUCACUCUUUCCCUCUCUCUCUCUAGAAAGAAAAAGAAGGAGAAGAAGAAGGAGAACAAGGAGAGGAAAGAAAAGAGGAAGAAAUGGAAGGAGAAGUCCAAGAAGAAGAAGAAGGUCUUCUUCCCUCUCUCCUUCAAGCUAGGGCAAGCUUGGAGCUUGGCUUAGAGGUAAGCUUCAAAUCCAUCCAUGGUGGAUUUCUUAGGAUUGGGUUUUAUUGUUUAGAAUUGGUUCAAAUGGAACCUAGAGGAGAUAAAUAGAUGGUUCGGGCUCGCAAUUGAAGCUCGCACCACAGAUUUCCUCACCGUUGCUAAUCUAGGGCACGGAUUUGGGAUUCUUGGAAAUCGAGGGUUUUGAUCUAUUUUAAUGGGUCGCAAACCUAAUUGCUAGGUCCUUAGACGCGUCGGCGAAGACGGUUCGUCGAUCCGACGAGCGAGUGCGGAGUUAUCGCCGAAUCGAGUACUCGAGGGCUCGCUUCGCCCCGAGGAGUUGAAGCGACGUACAAGGACCGCAGUGUCGAGUUUUCUACCGUCGCGACACCGCCACGAGGUGGGUGGUGUGAGGAACCGGACUUCUAAAAUUAUGAAGUUACGGUGUACAUUUGAAUUGUUCCAGUAAGGUUGCGGUGAAAUGUAAUAUACCGGAUUUUUAAAUAUAAAAAUGAAAAUAAAUAAAAAUAGUAUGAGAUACUAUUUUUAUUGAAUUUGGAGAAAUGAAAUAUAGAUUGGAAAUGACCUGUGCUGAAAUCGGAGCGAAAAUAGAAGAUUUAGAAUUUUCUGUGAGAAACGGGGCAGAUAAAUUAGCAGAAAAUGCACAGUCUCAGAAAAUUAUGAAAAUUGGCAGAUAAGUCAGAAAUAUUUUUAUGAGGCUAGAUUUAAAGUUUCAUAUUUUUCUGACACCCGUAGAGUGAGAAAUAAAAUCCGACAGCUAUCUGAUAAAGAUUACAGUUCGGUAUAGUUUUCGGUGACCAAAUGGGAUCGAAAUUGAAAACAUAAAAUAUAUUCUUGCUCAGUACGUAAAACCAAACAUGACUGUCAAGUUUGAGCUCAAACGGACAUUCAGGGAUCUCCGGCAAAAGAUAUCAGAUUUAGGGACUAAACUGAAAGGUUGAAUAGUUGAGGGGCUAACUUGUAAAAAGGGAUUAAAUCCCUUUCUUCUCCUUCCUCAGCCGAAUGCAGCACACCACACACGCACACGACACACACACACACGCAAGGAAAGGGAAAGAGAGAAAACUCAUUUUCUCUCUCUAGAUCUCUCCCAAAAUUGAAGGUUUUGGUGGAGAAGCAAGCUUGGAAGCUGAUCUUCAUCUCCUUCAUCUUCUUUCUCUCCAUUGGAGCUUGCUUGAGAGGUAAGCUUCAAAGUCCCUUCAAUGGUAGAUCUUUAUAGCUUUAUUUAGAUGCUCUAGAAAUGGGUUUGAUGGAAUCCUAGGAUGUUAAAUGAGUGUUUAUUGCAUGAUUUAAUUUCCAAUUUGGAGCAUCUUGUAAUAGUAAACACCUAGGGCUCAAAAAUGCUAGUUUGGUAAAUAUGAGGGUUUGAUCUCAUUUGACCCUCUGUAAACCUAAUUGCUAGGUAAACGAACGCGCUGGCGAAGUCGGUUUGGCGAUUCGUCGAGCCGGUGCGAAGUUAUUAAAGAAACGGACGUUUAGGCUUCGUUUCCGCCUGGAGGGCCGAGGCGACGUCGUAAAAUUAUGGAAUCGGAUUUGAGGCACCAUAACAACAAAACAAAGACCCUUUUUGCCUGAGGUUGCGAAGCGAUGUGCGGUUGGUGCACAAUUGCAAGUUCCGGCGGAACCGAGCACCGGAUGCGGCGGGAGGCCGAUUGCAAGUGUCGACAAGCAAUUAGAGUGCACUAACAGGUGGGUUGUGCUCACCGAAGUUAUUAGCUCACUUCCAUGUCGAAGCGGAAGUGUAAUUCUCGUUGAUGCAUAUAAUGUAAAUGCUAAACGAUACAUAUGAUGUAAAUACUUGAUGAUGCAUAUAAUGUAAAUGCAUGAUGACAUGAGGCAUAUACUAAAUGAUGUUGACAUAUCAUGAGAUGCUAGUUGAUAUAUAUACAUGAUAGGGUAUUGGAUAGUCGCAUUUCUAUUCUUGCAUGAUCCAUAGUAGUGUAGCAACAUGAGUUGGCACUUGAGUUAGGAUGCAUGAGAAUAGAGGAAUGGUGACAUAGAACCCUAUAGAGAUAAGUUAAACAAUAACUUGAUCUUGUAUUGAUGAAUAUGAUGAUAUAUGACUAGUAUAGUCGAGCCAUUGCAUCGUGACGAGUGGCAUGUGAAUCAAGUAAACAACUUGACGAGUGGCAUUAGAACUUAGUGUUAAAAGAACACUUGUGAUAUGAUGACUUAGGGGAUAGAUGAGUCUCCCUAUUUGACACCUUGCAUGAGAUCGGUGUGACAUUGAUGACCCUAGAGACAGGGUAUCCUCAGUGCACGAGGAUUGGAUCAUACUCACAUUGUCUGUUCAGCGCUUGUGGCGGUCACUCCGCACAAGUAGUGCGAGCUCCGGAGUCUUGGCACGUGAAACGAUUGAGAUAGCCUAUGUGGGGUCCCAAGGGAUAGCCUAUGUGGGUCCCGCAGACAGUCCCUCGGGGGUUCGAGUCCCCUUCCAUAGACGGAUUUGAGAUGUGAGUUGAGGGCGCGCCUAUGGGCCAGCCAAAGGAUUGGGUAAUAAACUCAUGAGAAUUAUGUGCAUUGAGCAUAGUGAGUCGUAGCUGAACCCCAGUAGAGUGGAUAUUAGGCUGAGGCGCAAGUGAGACAUCCAUCGCCUUGAGCCUGAUUUUGCGCGAUAAUCCGCGGAUGAUUGACUCAAGACCGUGUCGGGUGGAUAGCUUCGUAAUGGUAGAUAAAAACCUUGUGAGCAACAGUAAAGGUCAAUGAAACCUUAUGAUCAGAAUGGUAAUUGACAUGAAUUUAAGAUAGAGAAAAACUUAGAAGUCAAUUGGACGAGCUAUGGAUAGCAGGAUUGAAAGUAGUAUCAAUUGAACUACUAGUUGGCUAUAUACUUGCAUUAUUGCAUGAUUUUCAUAUUGCAUAUUGCGAGGCAUAUUAUUUGUUAGUUGCAUAAAUACAUGAUGAUAUAUAUAUCUGUGGAUGUUUUUUGGACUAAUAUAUUGCAGUGCCUCCUUCGGACCUGGUGGGUUGAGCUCUUCCCUUGGGUGGCCGUACCCACUUGGAACUAUAUUUAUAUAGUUCUCACCCCCGUGUGGUUUUGGGGGUUACAGAUUCGCACGUGAGCGGCGCGGCGGCGCAAGGAGAGGGCGUAGCUUCGUAGAUAGCGCUUUACUACCGAGACCAGAGAUAGCGAUACCCUAAAGUGACCUAGCUUAGGGGUUAGAAAUGUAAGAAAUAAACUUGUAAUAAUUAUGAUUGUAUUUGGAAGUUGAGGAUGUAUUGCAAAUAAUGUAAUAUAAAUGUGAAUGCUUGUAAUAGCAUAGGAUAUAUUUUGUUUGAUACCUUCCUUAUGCAAUCGUUGUCUGAAUACUGUUCCUGGUUGGAACCUGUUGUAAUUGUAUUGAUUGCGACGCCUUGGACGUACAGGGGAAACUCUGUCCGUUCGGCGGUCUGUCGGCGUGCCGAACCUGACCAAAUAGGCGGGGCUCGGGGCGUGACAGGUGGUGUCCAUCCCGAAGCAAUCGGGCUCCCUUCUAUGUCUUAGUAUUUUGAGAUCUUGCAUCCUGUGUUUACAUGCAUUAUAGGAUAGUGUGCAUUGCUUUUCCUUAUGCUUUCCUAUUUGAUGCUAUAUUAUGUAUGAAUUGCUCGAUAUAGGGGAUUGAUGAGGAUUGGGUCGAGACUUGUAAUCCUAUAGUGCGGCGAUGAAAGAAUGAUGCAAGGGUUGAAACAAAAGAACGAGUGGCACCUAGUUGUUAGUAAACAAAGAACGAGUGGCAUGUAUGAGUUGUAGCGUAUAUGAAACCCAUUGACUAUGGUGAUAGUAACCCUAGAGGAUAGGGCACCCUUGAGGUGGGAGAAUUGGAUCAUACUUAUUGUCUGCUCCCAACUUGUGAUGGUCGCUCCACACAAGUAGUGCGCUCCGGAGUUGGUCACGAGGGAUAGCCUAUAUGGGGUCUCGUGGGAUAGGGAUAGCCUAUUUGGGGUCCCGAGGGAUAGCCUAUGUGGGGUCCUACAGACGGUCUCGGAUUCGUAGUAUCGAGGCGGCUAUAUGAGUAGUAGGCGGAAUCCUUGAAUGAGCCACGAGGUUAAUGAGCGGGUAAAUAGCUUUACUUCUUGGACAUAUGAAGAGCUAGCUGAUUAUCUAUUUCAUUGUGCAUGCAUUCAUCAUAUACAUGAUUCGGGCACAUAGUGUCACGCCCCGAGCCCGCCUCUUUGGUCGGAUUCGGCACGCUAACAGACCGCCGAACGGACAGGGUUUCCCCUGUACCACGGACAGAGUCUCCCCUGUACGUUCAAGGCGUCGCAAUCAAUACAAUAUACGAAGUUCCAACCAGGAACACAUCCAACAAAGAUUGCAUAAGAAAGUAUCAAAAACAUAAAUCUACUUACUAUUACAAGCAUUCACAUUCAUACAUUUUUACAUCACAAUUCUCAUUUGAUUCUUACAUUAGCUUUCACUUAACUUCCAAAUACAAUCCGAUUUUAACAUAGUUAUUACAACAUUGUUCUUACAAUUAUCACAUUUUUGGUUCUUUGCAUUUUAUACCCCUAAGAAGCCGACUCAGGGUGCUGCUAUCUGGUCUCAGUGGUAGGGCGCUAACUACGGAGCUACGCCCUUUCCUCGCGCCGCCGCGCCGCUCGCGUGUGAACCUGUAAAACCCCGAAACAACGUGGGGUGAGAACUAACUCCAUAGUUCCCAGUGGGUACGGCCACCCAAGGGAAGAGCUCGACCAUCAGGUCAAAGGAGGCAAACAACAUGUUAGUCCAAUAGAUAGAUAUGAAAUCAUAAAUCAUGCAACUAACAUUACCAUGCUUUUGCCUCACAACAUGCAAUAUGCAAAUUAUGCAACUCAUAUAGUAGAUUAAUUGCUUCUACACUUUAUUCUUAUCCAUUCUUUACUUUUACUCAUUCUUUACUUUACUAGCUAUUCUUUAGCAUUAACCCUUCUUUAUUCUUUAUUACUUGUCAUUCUUUAGCAUUAGCCUUUUCUUAUUCUUGAUUCUUCAUUCUUUAUUCUUUACGCUUUACUAAGGGUACUCACACCUUAGUAAUAUUAUACACAUUAGCCUUUCUUUCCUAAGGUUACUUUACCUUAGCCAACUUUGCCAUCCGACUCGGUCUUGAGUCAAUCAACUGCGGAUAGUCCGCGCUCUGUCCGGCUCGAGGUGAAGGAACUCUCACAUGCACCUCAGCCUUCAAUCACAAACCACAUCGCCCAACGGGUCGCCCAGAGCUGCGUACACCCGUGGUCAGGGAUCCCCCGGUGGGAGAGGAACAUGCCGCAUACACCCGCAGCCGAGAUCCCCGAUAGGGAGAGGAACAUGCCACAUGCACCCUAGCGCUCAUUGUUCUUGCUCAUUGACAAGCCUCGAAGUUCUUCUGGUGGGAGAGGAACAUGCCACAUGCACCCGCGGCCAAGAACUAUCGAGCUUGUAUGCUGCACUAGCAGCCGCUGCACUAGCAGCAGGGAUUCCGGAAUCCACUUUACAUUACUCAAGGGUUGGUCUCACCCUAUGUUAUCGACCUAUCUAGGUCCAAGCCUUUACUCAACCUAUGUUUGUACAUUAGGUUCAAUGUCAUUAUUUUCAUAGCCUAGGUUCAUUAACACUAGGUUUAACAUUCUUUAUCACCUAGGUUCAUUUGACUCUAGGUUCUAUAUCAUUACAUUUACAACCUAGGUUUAUCUGACUCUAGGUUCAAUGCCACUCAUGUUCUUGUUUUCCUAGUUGUCCACACCUAGGAAUUAUACUUGACAUGCCACUCGUGAAUAACCUAUGUUCAUCGACACUAGGUUCAUUAUUACUUUUGUUUAACCUAUGUCCUUGACACUAGGUCCAAUGCCACUCGAUCUAUAGGUGCAUUUAUGUCAACUUACACACAUCCUUUACUUAGCAUUUUUAUCUUAUCAUUAUGCAUGCAUUCUACUUUACGUCAUUUUAACAUAUUCUCACAAUAUGGAUCAUACAUUUAGCUCAUAUGUUUACUUAACAUACAUCUCAACAUGCUUUUAACAUUUUACUCAUGCUUCAUCAAACAUUUCUAUAACAUGUCACAAGCAUUAGCUUAGUGUUCUUACAUUAUGUCAAUAUGCAUACUUUUAGCAUUUCCUAUUAUGACAACAUGCAUUUCUCAACAUACAUCUUAUAUGAUCAUUACUUGGCACAUAUUACAUGCAUUACUUAACAUCUAUCACAUGCAUUCAUUCCUUAGCAUCUUUAUCAUGGCAUUGUAUACAUUUAUUAGCAUCAUUAUUGUCACGCCCCGGGACCGAUACCAAUUUGGCCCGACCUGAGCACGUCAAACAGACGCAGAACAGACGGAGUUUCCCCUAUCCGCCCAAGGCUCAUCACAUGCACAUUUUCAUCAAUAGAGGAAAGCACUAGCGGAAACAUAUACACACGACUUACACGAGGGUAAGCAAUAGCCAUUAGUGAAAGAAAAAGGAAACUAAACAUUCACAAGUAAUAUGAUUCACUUUAGAUCAUAUACACUGCAUUCAUCUAGUAAUUUAUCGAAUUCUUACAUUCAUUACAUCAUUUCUUUCUUACAUCACAUUUACCUCAAAAUGAGCUUUACAUUCUUUCUUUACAUCACUAAUCAUCAAAUACAAAAGAUGAUCAUAAGGUACUUUACUACAAAAUGUAACCCAACAUUGGUGGCCUCUGACUAAGGCGCGAUACCUUUACCGCGGUCGCUCGCCGGCUCGCUCGGUCCCGGCUCUGUGGAAAUAGUGGGGUGAGAACUACAACAAAGUUCCCAGUGGGUUCGGCCCCAACAUCACCGACUUUCCCACUAGGACUAACUCAGGCAUAAUAGAAAGGAUAAGCAAGAUAUCGUAACCAAU